rnacentral:rRNA from 1 species
UACGUAGGGGGCAAGCGUUGUCCGGAUUUAUUGGGCGUAAAGAGCGUGUAGGCGGCCUGACAGGUCUGCUGUGAAAACUCGAGGCUCAACCUCGAGAUGUCGGCGGAAACUGUCUGGCUAGAGUCCGGAAGAGGAGAGUGGAAUUCCUGGUGUAGCGGUGAAAUGCGCAGAUAUCAGGAAGAACACCUAUGGCGAAGGCAGCUCUCUGGGACGGUACUGACGCUGAGACGCGAAAGCGUGGGGAGCGAACAGG